UCUACCCAGGGGCGGAUCCAGGAUUUGAACAUUGGGGGGGCCAAAACUUGUGCCGCUACAUUCAUUGUCGAUGGUACUCUAAUUACUACAUCAAGCUGAAGCGUCUGAGUAUUCGAAUUGCUUUCCUCUCACAUUCGUGACAUUCUUCACAUGCAGGGGGUCUAUUUGUUGAUCGCAAAAUGCCUCUAUUUGGCAUCCUAUUAUCAAUAUAUACACUAUUUCCAUUCCCUGAAUUUUGUAAUAGCAGAUCUGGAGUUUGUCAAUGUUUUUCUUUGGCUUAGUUUAUCCUUUGUUGAAUGUUCAUUGUAUC